GGGGGGCGGGCGCAUUGGUCCCGGAGUCGCGGCUGCGCCUGUUCGCUGGCGUCAUGGCACCCAAAAAGAAAGGGAAGAAAGGCAAAGCCAAAGGCACCCCGAUUGUCGAUGGGCUUGCUCCAGAGGACAUGAGCAAGGAGCAGGUGAGCAGAGUGGGCUGUGGCCCAGUCCCUGGGUGGGUGUGGGUGGGCAUCACGCAGGGUGCCUGCAUGAACCUCUCACGUGGCAGCGCCGUGUGUCCAUCUCACCAUGUGGAUCCACUGUUCUGUCCAAGCCAGAACACGCCCCCUGUGUGGCCGGUAAUUCCCAUCAGCGGCAAAGCUUUUGGCUGCACCAUAUCUUUUCAGAAAGGCAGUGCCGCCUGUUAAAGAGGUUUGUAAUAAGGCGGUAGGAGUGUGGAAGGACGUGUUUUUCUGAUCUAAAAGCUGUUUUUAAUUU
rnacentral:sRNA from 1 species